rnacentral:rRNA from 1 species
GCGUAAUGAUGGCCAGGCUGUCUCCACCCGAGACUCAGUGAAAUUGAACUCGCUGUGAAGAUGCAGUGUACCCGCGGCAAGACGGAAAGACCCCGUGAACCUUUACUAUAGCUUGACACUGAACAUUGAGCCUUGAUGUGUAGGAUAGGUGGGAGGCUUUGAAGCGUGGACGCCAGUCUGCGUGGAGCCGACCUUGAAAUACCACCCUUUAAUGUUUGAUGUUCUAACGUGGACCCGUGAUCCGGGUUGCGGACAGUGUCUGGUGGGUAGUUUGACUGGGGCGGUCUCCUCCUAAAGAGUAACGGAGGAGCACGAAGGUUGGCUAAUCCUGGUCGGACAUCAGGAGGUUAGUGCAAUGGCAUAAGCCAGCUUGACUGCGAGCGUGACGGCGCGAGCAGGUGCGAAAGCAGGUCAUAGUGAUCCGGUGGUUCUGAAUGGAAGGGCCAUCGCUCAACGGAUAAAAGGUACUCCGGGGAUAACAGGCUGAUACCGCCCAAGAGUUCAUAUCGACGGCGGUGUUUGGCACCUCGAUGUCGGCUCAUCACAUCCUGGGGCUGAAGUAGGUCCCAAGGGUAUGGCUGUUCGCCAUUUAAAGUGGUACGCGAGCUGGGUUUAGAACGUCGUGAGACAGUUCGGUCCCUAUCUGCCGUGGGCGCUGGAGAACUGAGGGGGGCUGCUCCUAGUACGAGAGGACCGGAGUGGACGCAUCACUGGUGUUCGGGUUGUCAUGCCAAUGGCACUGCCCGGUAGCUAAAUGCGGAAGAGAUAAGUGCUGAAAGCAUCUAAGCACGAAACUUGCCCCGA